rnacentral:lncRNA from 1 species
AACCCAUCUUUGCAUGGCAUCACUCAGGCACCUCUGUAAAGGACCUGAGUACAAGUCAUUGUGCUUGGAAGUUUAAUGGCAGGAGGCGAGAGCGGAAACAGAGCAGUCGAAGCCAGGCAGCUCCUCACCCCUCACAGCGUGAGUCGAGAGCGGGCAUCUUGUGUUGAUGAAUCACAAGGAGAUGACAAGACCCAGCACGUGAGUGCCAGCCAGCUACCACGGGCUAGGUGAGGAACGCCCGGCUUCCUCUACUGGCUGACACUUGGCCAAACAAUUGGAUUUUCUUUUUUUCUCUUCUAAACCACAUGCAUUCCUCUGAUUAAAGCGAAAGCAUACCGGGCCUGUAA